UGCCUGUACCAUAACCGACACAGGUGGGUAAGUAGAGUAUACUAAGGGGCGCGAGAUAACCCUCUCUAAGGAACUCGGCAAAAUAACUCCGUAACUUCGGGAGAAGGAGUGCCUUAUUCUUAAGGUUGCAAUAACAAGAUCCAAGCAACUGUUUAUCAAAAACACAGGUCUCCGCUAAGUCGUAAGACGAUGCAUGGGGGCUGACGCCUGCCCAGUGCCAGAAGGUUAAAGAAGUCGGUUAGCAAUAGCAAAGCUGGUAACUGAAGCCCUGGUGAACGGCGGCCGUAACAAUAACGGUCCUAAGGUAGCGAAAUUCCUUGUCGGGUAAGUUCCGACCCGCACGAAAGGCGUAAUGAUUUGGAUGCUGUCUCGGAGAGGGGCUCGGUGAAAUAGACUUGUCUGUGAAGAUGCGGACUACCUGCACCAGGACAGAAAGACCCUAUGAAGCUUUACUGUAACUUGAAAUUGAAAUUGGACUUUAUUCGCGCAGUAUAGGUGGGAGGCGUUGAUUAUAAUCUUGUGGGAUUAUUGGAGCCAUCAGUGAGAUACCACUCUUGUAAUGUUAGAUUUCUAACUUUGAAUCAUUAUCUGGUCAAAGGACAGUUUCAGGCGGGCAGUUUGACUGGGGCGGUCGCCUCCUAAACGGUAACGGAGGCGUACAAAGGUUUCCUCUGAACGGUUAGAAAUCGUAUCUAGAGUGUAAAGGCAUAAGGAAGCUUGACUGUGAGACCUACAAGUCGAGCAGGGACGAAAGUCGGUCUUAGUGAUCUGACGGUACUGAGUGGAAAGGCCGUCACUCAACGGAUAAAAGUUACUCUAGGAUAACAGGCUGAUCUCCCCCAAGAGUUCACAUCGACGGGGAGGUUUGGCACCUCGAUGUCGGCUCAUCGCAUCCUGGGGCGUAGUACGUCCCAAGGGUUGGGCUGUUCGCCCAUGAAAGCGGUACGCGAGCUGGGUUCAGAACGUCGUGAGACAGUUCGGUCCAUAUCCGGUGUAGGCGCUAGAAUAUUGAGAGGAGCCUUCUUUAGUACGAGAGGACCGAGAAGGACAUACCUCUGGUGUACCAGUUAUCGUGCCAACGGUAAACGCUGGGUAGCUAUGUAUGGAGUGGAUAACCGCUGAAAGCAUCUAAGUGGGAAGCCCACCUCAAGAUAAGUAUUCUCAUCACGUAAGUGAGUAAGGUCACGGUAAGACUAACCGUUUGAUAGGCAUUAAGUGUAAGUACAGUAAUGUAUGUGCUGAGAUGUCCUAAUAGACCGAGGAC
rnacentral:rRNA from 1 species